rnacentral:rRNA from 1 species
ACUUUGCNAUGCGGGAAACCGUGACAGGGGAACUCCGAGUGCCCGUNAAAUCGGGCUGUCCAUCAGUUUAAAUAACUGGUGAAGAAAGGGCCGGGCAAGACCGGUGCCAGCCGCCGCGGUAAUACCGGCGGCUCGAGUGGUGGCCACUAUUACUGGGCUUAAAGCGUUCGUANCUGGUUUGUUAAGUCUCUGGGGAAAUCUUCCGGCUUAACCGGAAGGCGUCUCAGGGAUACUGGCAGACUAGGGACCGNGAGAGGUGAGGGGUACUCCANGGGUAGGA